ACGUAGGGGGCGAGCGUUGUCCGGAAUUACUGGGCGUAAAGCGUACGUAGGUGGCCUUUUAAGUCGGAUGUGAAAUACCCGAGCUCAACCUGGGGGGUGCAUUUGAUACUGGGUGGCUAGAGUGCAGGAGAGGGAAGCGGAAUUCCUAGUGUAGCGGUGAAAUGCGUAGAUAUUAGGAGGAACACCAGUGGCGAAGGCGGCUUUCUGGACUGUAACUGACGCUGAGGCGCGAAAGCGUGGGGAGCAAACAG
rnacentral:rRNA from 1 species